GACGAACGCUGGCGGCGUGCUUAACACAUGCAAGUCGAACGAUGAAGCCGCUUCGGUGGUGGAUUAGUGGCGAACGGGUGAGUAACACGUGGGCAAUCUGCCCUGCACACUGGGACAAGCCCUGGAAACGGGGUCUAAUACCGGAUACGACCACCGGCCGCAUGGCCUGGUGGUGGAAAGCUCUGGUGGUGCAGGAUGAGCCCGCGGCCUAUCAGCUUGUUGGUGGGGUGAUGGCCUACCAAGGCGACGACGGGUAGCCGGCCUGAGAGGGCGACCGGCCACACUGGGACUGGGACACGGCCCAGACUCCUACGGGAGGCAGCAGUGGGGAAUAUUGCACAAUGGGCGCAAGCCUGAUGCAGCGACGCCGCGUGAGGGAUGACGGCCUUCGGGUUGUAAACCUCUUUCAGCAGGGAAGAAGCUUUCGGGUGACGGUACCUGCAGAAGAAGCACCGGCUAACUACGUGCCAGCCGCCGCCGUAA
rnacentral:rRNA from 1 species